UACGGAGGGGGCAAGCGUUGUUCGGAAUUACUGGGCGUAAAGGGCGCGUAGGCGGAACAUUAAGUUAGGGGUGAAAGGCCCGGGCUCAACCUGGGAACGGCCUCUAAGACUGAUGAUCUGGAGUCCGGAAGAGGAUGGCGGAAUUCCCAGUGUAGAGGUGAAAUUCGUAGAUAUUGGGAAGAACACCGGUGGCGAAGGCGGCCAUCUGGUCCGGCACUGACGCUGAGGCGCGAAAGCGUGGGGAGCAAACAGGAUUAGAAACCCCCGUAGUCC
rnacentral:rRNA from 1 species